AAGACCACACAAGUCUUCGCGGUUGGGUGACAGUUGACUGAUAUGCUGUGCUUAAAAUUAAAAUUGGCCAAAAAGAUCAUUUGAAAGAGAAAGCAUUUGCUGUUGCUCUCCUCAGGUUUGCAUGGUCUGAAACCAUAUAUGAUAAAUAUAUCAUGUUCGGAAGCAGACAAAUGACUUCAUCAGCAGACAUACUUGACUCACUCUACUGCUCCUGAAUUACAUCGAUGGGGGCCGGCAGAGAUUGGAGCUGCUGUUGUGAUAAUUUGGAUUCAAAUCGGAAAAAGCUUCAGCUUGGCUGUGGACCUAAGCAGCAGCCCCGAAAUCGUUAGGGAGAGACAAGCAUGUUUCCGGUGCUUAACAAUCUAUUGCUGGUCUUCGUUUUCGCCAUUGCUUCCUUUGGUGCUUCAAGCUUAAUGCUAACUGGAGGAAUCCAAAAUGAGGAUGUUGGAAGAAGAAAGCUUGUCACUGAGAAUCCUGGUUUCAUAAGCAUUGACUGCGGGGCAAAUGGAGACUACCAUGACGAGGCCACUGGCAUAGUCUACAGGACCGAUCGAGAUUUCAUCGACACUGGAGAAAAUCAUG